UACAUACUGUGCGAACGUUAUUCGGAUUCACUGGGCUUAAAGGGUGUGUAGGCGGCUUGUUAAGUAGGAUGUGAAAGCCCCUGGCUCAACCAGGGAACUGCAUUCUAAACUAGCGGGCUAGAGUGAGAUAGGGGUGUGUGGAACUGCCAGUGGAGCGGUGAAAUGUGUUGAUAUUGGCAGGAACGCCGGUGGCGAAAGCGACACACUGGGUCUCAAGUGACGCUGAGACACGAAAGCCAGGGGAGCAAACGGG
rnacentral:rRNA from 1 species